AGCAGUUGUGAUCUGCGAUGGAGGCCGAUGUUUCGAAAGAGCUUGCAUGCCCAUCGAACGACACAUGAGGGCAGCAUUCAACAACAUAAACACGCGACUGUACGGCGCUGUCUUCCGAGUGGCUGAAACUGUACCUGUUGUUACCUUUGCCCCUUUCUUAUUACUGUGUGUUUUUGGUCCAACGUAAUAACACCAAAAUGGAUGAGAAGCAGGGACCAACUUCUGAUGAUGUCCCAACUGGGGAGGUAACGUCAACCACAGUUACAGAGGGUGAUGUUGUCAAGAUGCCAACAGAUGUGGCCAUCACUAUGGAUGCUAUUCCCAAUGAAGAUGAGGAGGACAAAUCCAAAGGGAGACAUCAGUUCCCAGCUCAACAGCUCCACCAGUGAUCUUCCUGAC
rnacentral:misc_RNA from 1 species